CCUACGGGAGGCAGCAGUCGAGAAUCAUUCACAAUGGGGGAAACCCUGAUGGUGCGACGCCGCGUGGGGGAAUGCAGGUCUUCGGAUUGUAAACCCCUGUCAUGUGGGAGCAAAUUAAAAAGAUAGUACCACAAGAGGAAGAGACGGCUAACUCUGUGCCAGCAGCCGCGGUAAUACAGAGGUCUCAAGCGUUGUACGGAAUCACUGGGCGUAAGGCGUGCGUAGGCUGUUUCGUAAGUCGUGUGUGAAAGGCGCGGGCUCAACCCGCGGACGGCACAUGAUACUGCGAGACUAGAGUAAUGGAGGGGGAACCGGAAUUCUCGGUGUAGCAGUGAAAUGCGUAGAUAUCGAGAGGAACACUCGUGGCGAAGGCGGGUUCCUGGACAUUAACUGACGCUGAGGCACGAAGGCCAGGGGAGCGAAAGGGAUUAGAUACCCCAGUAGUC
rnacentral:rRNA from 1 species